rnacentral:rRNA from 1 species
UUUUCUCAAGGAAGAAGACCUGACGGUACUUGAGGAAUAAGCCACGGCUAAUUCCGUGCCAGCAGCCGCGGUAAUACGGGAGUGGCAAGCGUUAUCCGGAAUUAUUGGGCGUAAAGCGUCCGCAGGCGGCCCUGUAAGUCUGUCGUUAAAGCGUGGAGCUUAACUCCAUUUAAGCGAUGGAAACUACAGGGCUUGAGUGUGGUAGGGGCAGAGGGAAUUCCCGGUGUAGCGGUGAAAUGCGUAGAUAUCGGGAAGAACACCAGUGGCGAAGGCGCUCUGCUGGGCCAUAACUGACGCUCAUGGACGAAAGCCAGGGGAGCGAAAGGGAUUAGAUACCCCUGUAGUCCUGGCCGUAAACGAUGAACACUAGGUGUCGGGGGAAUCGACCCCCUCGGUGUCGUAGCCAACGCGUUAAGUGUUCCGCCUGGGGAGUACGCACGCAAGUGUGAAACUCAAAGGAAUUGACGGGGGCCCGCACAAGCGGUGGAGUAUGUGGUUUAAUUCGAUGCAACGCGAAGAACCUUACCAGGGUUUGACAUCCUGCGAACCCCCUGGAAACGGGGGGGUGCCUUCGGGAACGCAGUGACAGGUGGUGCAUGGCUGUCGUCAGCUCGUGUCGUGAGAUGUUGGGUUAAGUCCCGCAACGAGCGCAACCCACGUCGUUAGUUGCCAGCAUUCAGUUGGGCACUCUAGCGAGACCGCCGGUGAUAAACCGGAGGAAGGUGUGGAUGACGUCAAGUCAUCAUGCCCCUUACAUCCUGGGCUACACACGUACUACAAUGCUACGGACAAAGGGCCGCAAGCUCGCGAGAGUUAGCAAAUCCCAUAAACCGUGGCUCAGUUCAGAUCGUAGGCUGCAACUCGCCUACGUGAAGGAGGAAUCGCUAGUAAUCGCAGGUCAGCAUACUGCGGUGAAUACGUUCCCGGGCCUUGUACACACCGCCCGUCACACCAUGGAAGUUGGCCACGCCCGAAGU